UAAAUCGACCGCUGGGGGAGUACGGCGGCAAGGACAAAAAUCAAAUUAAUUGGGGGGCGCCCGCACAAGCGGUGGAGCAUGUGGUUUAAUUCGAUGCAACGAGAAGAACCUUACCUGGUCUUGACAUCCACAGAACUUUGCAGAGAUGGAUUGGUGCCUUCGGGAACUGUGAGACAGGUGCUGCAUGGCUGUCGUCAGCUCGUGUUGUGAAAUGUUGGGUUAAGUCCCGCAACGAGCGCAACCCUUAUCCUUUGUUGCCAGCGGUCCGGCCGGGAACUCAAAGGAGACUGCCAGUGAUAAACUGGAGGAAGGUGGGGAUGACGUCAAGUCAUCAUGGCCCUUACGACCAGGGCUACACACGUGCUACAAUGGCGCAUACAAAGAGAAGCGACCUCGCGAGAGCAAGCGGACCUCAUAAAGUGCGUCGUAGUCCGGAUUGGAGUCUGCAACUCGACUCCAUGAAGUCGGAAUCGCUAGUAAUCGUAGAUCAGAAUGCUACGGUGAAUACGUUCCCGGGCCUUGUACACACCGCCCGUCACACCAUGGGAGUGGGUUGCAAAAGAAGUAGGUAGCUUAACCUUCGGGAGGGCGCUACCACUUUGAUUAUGCC
rnacentral:rRNA from 1 species